rnacentral:rRNA from 1 species
UACGAAGGGUGCAAGCGUUACUCGGAAUUACUGGGCGUAAAGCGUGCGUAGGUGGCGAGUUAAGUCUGAUGUGAAAUCCCCGGGCUCAACCUGGGAAUGGCAUUGGAUACUGGCUCGCUAGAGUGCGGUAGAGGGUGGUGGAAUUCCCGGUGUAGCAGUGAAAUGCGUAGAGAUCGGGAGGAACACCUGUGGCGAAGGCGGCCACCUGGACCAACACUGACACUGAGGAACGAAAGCGUGGGGAGCAAACAGG